CCUACGGGAGGCAGCAGUGAGGAAUAUUGGUCAAUGGGCGCUAGCCUGAACCAGCCAAGUAGCGUGAAGGAUGACUGCCCUAUGGUUUGUAAACUUCUUUUAUAUGGGAAUAAAGUGCAGUAUGUAUACUGCUUUGCAUGUACCUUAUGAAUAAGGAUCGGCUAACUCCGUGCCAGCAGCCGCGGUAAUACGGAGGAUCCGAGCGUUAUCCGGAUUUAUUGGGUUUAAAGGGAGCGUAGGCGGGUUGUUAAGUCAGUUGUGAAAGUUUGCGGCUCAACCGUAAAAUUGCAGUUGAUACUGGCAGCCUUGAGUACAGUAGAGGUAGGCGGAAUUCGUGGUGUAGCGGUGAAAUGCUUAGAUAUCACGAAGAACUCCGAUUGCGAAGGCAGCCUGCUGGACUGUAACUGACGCUGAUGCUCGAAAGUGUGGGUAUCAAACAGGAUUAGAUACCCUGGUAGUC
rnacentral:rRNA from 1 species